CUCAUCUCAAUAUUCAAUGAUAUAUGUAUGUAAAUAUAUAUGUAUAUAUAUAUGCACAUGUGAUGUUCUCUAUUAAUUCUACUAAUAUUAAUCUCUAUCUAAAGAAAUGAGGCUACUUUCUUAAAACAUUUGUGAAAGGGAAUUUUUAUUCCCUUUGUCCUUUUUAAGUUAAUCAAUCAAGAACUUGUAUGCCUACUUAACACUUAGUAGGUCACUAACAGGUCACUAACACGAAGGUUCGUGCCCUAGCAAGUCACAAGCACUACCCACCCCACUGGGCAAAUUGAAAGGCUGUGACUGAUUUCCUGAGAUGUGAUGAGGAGAGACAGGAAGUGAUGUGGAGAAAGCUGCUUAUAAAAGCCACCCAAAGGCAUUCUGAUUCAUUCUGCUGCCCUAGUGGCUCUUACUGACAGAGGACUUCUGCGUUGGUGUCUCUGUGUUGGACUACUUCUGCAUUAGGGGGAUUCUUCUGCCUUGGACUUCUGCAUUGGAGAUUGAUUCUGCACUGAAACCAAUUUCAGCCUUUCAAUUUGCCCAGCACUGCCCAAGGUGGGAGACAGUGGCCUUUGGAGGUGUGAGCUUACUCUAGUAAGUGACUUGUGAACUCUCAUACUUAAUAGUAAGUAAGGGUACUUUAAGUUGUUGAUUUGAUUAGCUAAAAAUAGACAAGGGGAGAGUUUAUCCUAUCUUAAUUAUUUUCCCCUGUGAUUCUUUGGGAGACUAGUCUCCCCCAAAGAAUCAUUUAACAUAACUAGCUUAUACCUCUAAAGAUCUUCUAACUCAAGGAGCAUAUAAUAUUGCACAUCCUAAGAGGAAACUAAAAUAGUUGGAGAUAAAAGGGAAAUAGAAGAAAGUGAGCAAAACCAAUGUUUGCUAGGUGCAUUGACAAAAAGCCAAUUGGGGGCAAUCGCCUUUGGCAUA
rnacentral:lncRNA from 1 species